rnacentral:rRNA from 1 species
CCUACGGGAGGCAGCAGUGAGGAAUAUUGGUCAAUGGGCGCGAGCCUGAACCAGCCAAGUAGCGUGAAGGAUGACUGCCCUACGGGUUGUAAACUUCUUUUAUAAAGGAAUAAAGUGAGGCACGUGUGCCUUUUUGUAUGUACUUUAUGCAUAAGGAUCGGCUAACUCCGUGCCGGCAGCCGCGGUACUACGGAGGAUCCGAGCGUUAUCCGGAUUGAGUGGGUUUAAAGGGAGCGUAGAUGGGUUGUUAAGUCAGUUGUGAAAGUUUGCGGCUCAACCGUAAAAUUGCAAUUGAUACUGGCAGACUUGAGUACAGGUGAGGUAGGCGGAAUUCGUGGUGUAGCGGUGAAAUGCUUAGAUAUCACGAAGAACACCGAUGGCGAAGGCAGCCUACUAGACUGCCACUGACAUUGAUGCUCGAAAGUGUGGGUAUCAAACAGGAUUAGAUACCCGAGUAGUC